rnacentral:rRNA from 1 species
UACAGAGGUCUCAAGCGUUGUUCGGAUUCAUUGGGCGUAAAGGGUGCGUAGGUGGCGCGUUAAGUCAGGUGUGAAAUUUCGGAGCUUAACUCCGAAACUGCAUUUGAUACUGGCGUGCUUGAGGACUGGAGAGGAGACUGGAAUUCAUGGUGUAGCAGUGAAAUGCGUAGAGAUCAUGAGGAAGACCAGUGGCGAAGGCGGGUCUCUGGACAAGUUCCGUGACACUGAGGCACGAAGGCCAGGGGAGCAAACGGGG